rfam:Coprococcus catus GD/7 draft genome.
GAAUGCCUGUCUGGUAAGGUCUAACCAACCGCCAGUAGCGAGUCUUGGGUGACUGUCAGUAACGGUAGUUGCUAAGCGUAGACAGCGAGAAAAUAGAGAGUGUGAUUGAGCCUCGAAAUUUUGACAUUUAGAAGGCUGACGUUCUAAUUUCGACGGAAAGCAAUACAAAUCAAUUCGCAUUGGUGAGAAAUGGUUUGCUUCUGCGGGGUCAAAGAGCA